ACUCAAUGAUAAAUUCAAUACCGAGGAGAUGCCAAAGGAGAAAACCAGAAGAAAAUUUAGAAAAGCACAUCAUAUCUUUUGCUUUAAAGCCUGAUUUCUACAAACAUCAACUCUUCAGAUGAAAAAGAGUCAAUCUCAGUCUGUCAGCUUACUUGGAAGAACUUGCUGAAGCAAGGCACGGACAAAGCACUAUUUCAGUGCCACCUUCUCUUUCAACAUCCUUCUACAAUCAGAUAUUAUAGCAGCAGCAGGCAUUCGACUUCCUGUAUAAAAGGAAUGUUGGUAUUCGAGAUUCCAUAUGUCGAAAAAAGUAUAGUAGAGUCUACUGUAUGAUUUUAAGUAUUUACUAGUACAAAUUUGAAGUUUAUAAUAUAUCAGUCAGGUUCUGCAGUUAUUUUCGAAA